GCCGGGUGUGGUAGCGCAUGUCUGUAAUCCCAGCUACUCAGGAGGCUGAGGCAGGAGAAUCACUUGAACCCAGGAGGCGGAGUUUGCAGUGAGCCGAGAUAGUGUCACUGCACUCCAGCCUGGGUGACAGAGUGAGACUCUGUCUCAA
ensembl:misc_RNA Metazoa_SRP Metazoan signal recognition particle RNA